AGUGUGGUGGCUCAGUGGUUAAGAGCUUGGCUGCUAACCAAAAGGCUGGCAGUUCGAAUCCACUCUCUGCUC
rnacentral:tRNA from 1 species